GACGAACGCUGGCGGCGUGCUUAACACAUGCAAGUCGAACGGAAAGGCCCUGCUUUUGUGGGGUGCUCGAGUGGCGAACGGGUGAGUAACACGUGAGUAACCUGCCCUUGACUUUGGGAUAACUUCAGGAAACUGGGGCUAAUACCGGAUAUGAGCUCCUGCUGCAUGGUGGGGGUUGGAAAGUUUCGGCGGUUGGGGAUGGACUCGCGGCUUAUCAGCUUGUUGGUGGGGUAGUGGCUUACCAAGGCUUUGACGGGUAGCCGGCCUGAGAGGGUGACCGGCCACAUUGGGACUGAGAUACGGCCCAGACUCCUACGGGAGGCAGCAGGGGGGAAUAUUGCACAAUGGGCGGAAGCCUGAUGCAGCAACGCCGCGUGCGGGAUGACGGCCUUCGGGUUGUAAACCGCUUUCGCAUGUGACGAAGCGGGAGUGACGGUAAUGGGUAAAGAAGCACCGGCUAACUACGUG
rnacentral:rRNA from 1 species